CCGUCAUAGUUUGCGGGGCGGGUUCGUGCGCGGCAGUCCAUCCUCUAUCUUUCUCUAGCCAAUUGCAGACGAGCUCGCCCACUCCGCACGACGCGGAGGGCGCGGCGCGUGUGGAGAGGCACGCGCACACCAAGAAAAGUUUGACCCAGCCAAUCGGAUCUAGCCCGAGCCCACACGCCAUACACUGUCCAGAUUUCACCACGCGGUCAAAACGACAUGAGUCAAUUCUCAGCGAGAUCCAACGAACGGCAGACAAAAAAAACUCGCUCAACCAUGAUCUAACGGCGAGCGAAGGAAGCGAUCGAGGAGGGAGCCUUCUCCAUGGGAGUUGGCCAGCCUCAUUAUUGUUUUAAAUGAGAGCAGAAGAGAAUAAUAAAAAUAAGUAAAAUUCCUCUUCCCCUCGCCGCUGCCUGCCGCCGCCGUUGUUAAAGCUGAAGGGAAGAGGAGGGGGAGGACGACCACCGGGCGCCCUGCUGCCUCCGGCACGAGCUGCGGCCUGCUGCCGCUACACAGCCUCGUGCACUGUGCGCUAACCGCCGCCCCGGAGGCGGUGGCGGCGCUGCGGCCGGCUGGUUGCCGGGAGACUGAUGGCGCCGGCGAGGAGGAAGCGCGGCGCAUCUGCGGCUGCCGCAGCGGCGUCGGCCGCGGCGCAGUGGAAGGUCGGCGACCUGGUGCUCGCCAAGAUGAAGGGCUUCCCCGCGUGGCCAGCCAUGAUAAGUGAACCAGAGCAAUGGGGUCUACCUUCUGUUAAAAAUAAGCGUCUGGUCUACUUCUAUGGAACUAAACAGAUGUAAGUUCUAUUUUGAAUGGAACCUUUCAUUUUUGUAUGGAAUUCAGAAGCUGCUUGUAUCUCUAUGGCUCAUCUGCUUAGUGUGCGUUGAAGUUUUUCUAUGGCUCAUCUGCUUUGUCUUUAUAAUUGGACAAUUGGUUAUAUAUGGAGUACUUGUUAUGAUAAAAAAUAAUGCAUACCUUUGUAAGUAUGUUUUCUUGGGUUA